GACGAACGCUGGCGGCAUGCCUAACACAUGCAAGUCGAACGGAGCCAUCUAAACAAUCCCUUCGGGGUGCGUUUGGGGAAGCUUAGUGGCGGACGGGUGAGUAACGCGUGAGUAACCUGCCUUUCAGAGGGGGAUAACGUUCCGAAAGGAACGCUAAUACCGCAUAACGUAUUUUUACCGCAUGAUAGAGAUACCAAAGAUUUAUCGCUGAAAGAUGGACUCGCGUCUGAUUAGCUAGUUGGAGGGGGUAAACGGGCCCACCAAGGCGACGAUCAGUAGCCGACCUGAGAGGGUGAUCGGCCACACUGGAACUGAGACACGGUCCAGACUCCUACGGGAGGCAGCAGUGGGGAAUAUUGCACAAUGGGCGAAAGCCUGAUGCAGCAACGCCGCGUGAGCGAUGAAGGCCUCGGUCGU
rnacentral:rRNA from 1 species